CGCCUCCUGAAAAGCCAGCCCGCCCGGGGCGGCGGCGCAGAGCCGGCCCGGCGCACGAGGCAGCCAGCGCGGCCAUGACGGCGGAGAAGGCGCUGCCUCUGGGCAACGGGAAGGCUGCCGAGGAGGCGCGGGAGUCCGAGGUGCUGGGUAGCGGCGGCGGCAGCGGGGGCGCGGCGUCCGCCCGCGACCCGCGCGACAAGCGCGACAAGGCAGUCCACGAGCGCGGCCACUGGAAUAACAAGGUGGAGUUCGUGCUGAGCGUGGCAGGGGAAAUCAUCGGGCUGGGCAACGUGUGGCGCUUCCCUUACCUGUGCUACAAGAACGGCGGAGGGGCAUUCCUGAUUCCCUAUGUGGUGUUUUUUAUAUGCUGUGGGAUUCCUGUUUUUUUCCUGGAAACAGCUCUGGGACAAUUUACGAGUGAAGGUGGCAUUACGUGUUGGAGGAAAGUGUGCCCUUUAUUUGAAGGCAUUGGCUAUGCAACGCAGGUGAUUGAGGCCCAUCUAAACGUGUACUACAUCAUCAUCCUGGCGUGGGCCAUUUUCUACCUGAGCAACUGCUUCACCACCGAGCUCCCCUGGGCCACCUGUGGGCACAAAUGGAACACAGAGAACUGCGUGGAGUUCCAGAAACUGAACGCAACCAACCACAGCCAUGUGUCCCUACAGAAUGCCACCUCUCCCGUCAUGGAGUUUUGGGAGCGCCGGGUCCUGGCCAUCUCAGAUGGGAUCGAGCACAUCGGGAACCUUCGCUGGGAGCUGGCCUUGUGUCUGCUGGCAGCCUGGACCAUCUGUUACUUCUGCAUCUGGAAGGGGACCAAGUCCACAGGAAAAGUGGUGUAUGUCACCGCGACGUUUCCCUACAUCAUGCUGCUGAUCCUUCUGAUCCGGGGGGUCACGUUGCCCGGGGCCUCCGAAGGCAUCAAGUUCUACCUAUACCCCGACCUCUCCCGGCUCUCCGACCCACAGGUCUGGGUAGAUGCUGGGACGCAGAUCUUUUUCUCCUAUGCCAUCUGCCUGGGUUGUCUGACUGCUCUGGGAAGUUAUAACACUUAUAACAACAACUGCUACAGGGACUGCAUCAUGCUCUGUUGCCUGAACAGCGGCACCAGCUUCAUAGCCGGGUUUGCCAUCUUCUCAGUCCUGGGAUUCAUGGCAUAUGAGCAAGGGGUGCCUAUCGCCGAGGUAGCAGAGUCAGGCCCCGGCCUGGCCUUUAUCGCUUACCCCAAGGCCGUCACCAUGAUUCCCCUCUCCCCACUGUGGGCCACCCUGUUCUUCAUGAUGCUCAUCUUCCUGGGCCUGGACAGCCAGUUUGUGUGUGUGGAAAGCCUGGUGACCGCUGUGGUGGACAUGUACCCCAAAGUCUUCCGGAGGGGCUAUCGGCGGGAGCUGCUCAUCCUGGCCCUGUCGGUCACCUCCUAUUUUCUGGGCCUCGUGAUGUUAACGGAGGGUGGCAUGUACAUCUUCCAGCUCUUUGACUCCUACGCCGCCAGUGGGAUGUGCCUUCUCUUUGUGGCCAUCUUUGAAUGCAUCUGCAUCGGCUGGGUGUACGGAAGCAACCGCUUCUAUGAUAACAUCGAAGACAUGAUUGGCUACCGGCCAUUGUCACUCAUCCAAUGGUGCUGGAAAGUCGUGACCCCCGGGAUCUGUGCGGCUGAGGGCCGCCCCAGGGACCUUUCCCCGUCUCCCCGCAGGGCAUCUUCAUCUUCUUCCUGGUCAAGUACAAGCCCCUCAAGUACAACAACAUCUACACCUACCCCGCCUGGGGCUAUGGCAUUGGCUGGCUCAUGGCCCUGUCCUCCAUGCUCUGCAUCCCGCUCUGGGUCUUCAUCAAGGUGUGGAAGACGGAAGGGACACUGCCGGAGACACACACCGCCUGUUCCCCUGGAUGGGGGAGCGUGAUGACAGCCUUUUGUGGGAAACGUACCUGUUUAUCCAGCGAUCAUUAUAUGAACGGCUCUGAGGUGCCGUAGCUCAUCCUCACAGCAGCCCUUCGGGCAGAAAUUCCAGAAGUUGACGACCCCCAGCGCCGAUCUGAGCACGCGGGGCAAGCUUGGGGCAGGCCCACGGACGGUGAUGGUUAAUGACUGUGACGCCAAACUCAAGGGUGAUGGGACCAUUGCAGCUAUCACAGAGAAG